UCUUGGGGUGGGGGAACGUAGUUGACAUUGGACCUGAAAGACAAAGCCAACGUGAGGACAGCAGACGGCUGCUUUCUGACUCACACAUACAUACAUCGUACAAGGAACAGAGCGAAAGGCACCUCUGAGUCAAGAUUUAACGGAGCACAACGAAGAGCCUAACAGAUAAAAAGCACAAGCUGCUGUUUUGUACCUCCAAACAAACGCUUCUCUGUUUGUAAUGCUUCGUUUAUGAUAAUAGAGUAGUUUUAUUUAGUCAUAAAAAUGUUCCAACUUUGCAUACAAGUUAAGUUUUCAGUUAAAUCUAUUGGUAUUCACAAAACUCCUGGAGAAAACACCUGUUUUCAGCGUCUAAAAUGAUUCCAGUUGUAAGUAACCAUAGUGACACAGAGGUGAAAGUUUUACAUUUCUUAAAAAUGUAGUUUGGAUACGUGGUAAUUCUUCCUUAUCUCCAAUAGCGACGCACGUGGAGUGUCUGAGCAAAGGGAGAAUAAAACACAAUCAGGAAAUGACGGACAAAUGUGGUUUUAAAUACGGCUUUCCAUUCCAGGUAAGAUACUGACUCCCUACAGGUCUCACACACUGCCCCGUUUUAAACAAAGAUGUCUAUUAUCUUGUCAAUCUGUCACAUUCACUGCACACUUUCACUUUAAUGAAGCAGGUAAAUUUUUUAGUAGACUCAUUAACAUUUCUACCUGGCUUUAUAAAUAUUACAUUUGUUAUUUAAUAAUGUACAGAUGCCAAAGUUGAUGUGAUGAAUUAUUCAGAUUUGGUGAUUGUUUAGGCUUGAGGGAGUCUGGUUUUACAUUUUGACCCCAAGCUAAGGUUUCUCCUGAACCUUAGGGAAAACAAUUAGAUAUUUCCAUCUUGCACAUUGGACUGAAAUGAUGAGAACGGAGGUUAUUUUUCUUCCUUUACAGGAUGUUCCUGCCUCUUUCCGUGUGUUCAACAUGCAGCAAGCUUGCAGGACCAGGGGAAACAAAGAAACGACUCCAACACGGAGAGACGGAGAGGGGGAGGACGUUUCUCGGCCGCGUUCAGCCGUUUCCUGGAGUCGGUGCCGGGUUUGGCUGCUGAUGUGGGCCGCGCCGUGACACUGGGAGAUCCAAAACGACCUGCGGGGUAUCAGGUUGGCGGCUUUAACGAGAGCGGGCUCGUGUAGCACUGCACACCAUGCGGGGAGUCUGGAGGCGAGUCGUUCACGGAAAGGUGCAGGGAUGCGGCUUCACGCGCCCGUCGGGUUCAAACAACUACGAUCUUUAGCAUCUUUACAUCUAGACUAAAGAUUGCAGCCUACUGGUGAUGAAAACCCAACAUUCAGUUUCUCUGGAAGUCAUAACACACUGGAAGUCCAUCAGAUGGAAAACAUGGUUACUUUUGCAUGUAUUUGUACAAAGAGCUUGUUUGCCUCUCUCAUUUUAACCCAAAAAUGUUUUCCUUUCACUAAACUUUCAUAUUGCAGUUUGUGAUCAGCCAGUUAUAUAUUUUAUUCUUAGAAAUCUGAGAAAGUGAGCUUGAAGUUUUCAGUCGCUGAAAGCCAAAACCAUUACAAUGCAUUAAAAUUUAUUAGUAAGACGAUUGAAACAGUUAGUAGUCGGUCUGAUGAGAGCAUAUUAAGAAGCAGAUAGUUGAAAAAGAAAAAACAAAAUCAGUUAAUAGUGUUAUGAGAUGUAAAUUCAUUCAGAAUAGUAAUAGUUAGCUGUGAGUAGAGUUCUGUAUCUAUACUGUUGAGCUUAGGUAAGACAUUUACCAUUUCUAAUUACUCCACAAAACCUCUCUUAAGCCUAUUCAGUUAACGGAGACAGGAACUCUCCCUUGUAGUUUCCUUAUCUGAACAGAGACACCAGAACACAUUAGAUCCUGCAGCUCCAGCGACUCAGAUGAUCUCUGUGUGAUUUUGCAGUGAAGGCGACCACAACUGUUUGGAUGUGGCCCCCUUUCUUUUUUUUACUUUUUGUACCACUGUUCUUUCUACCUUUUGGCUGUUCGUGUCGCCGCGAGUAAUUGCGUGCGUGUCGGCCGCUCAGUGCGAUAUUCCACCGACGUAAUCCCAAGAUAACAAUAGAGACAGAUUAAAUAAAGCAAAGAGUUUGACCUUUUGGUAGGCAGAUAAUGACAUCGGUCUUCCUGUGCAGUUAGUUCCUGGUGGACUUAGCAGCAUAAUACUGUGAUGUGAACACUCCUAAAGCCUUUAGUCGUCAAAGACGAAGAAGAUGAUGGAUAUUUUAUUUCUCCAGUCUGUUUUAUGAUGAUUUUUUUUUUUAUUUAAUGGGAAAGAAAAGUAGAUUUAACCAGGGUUUAUUUCUGUUCUCUUCAGGUUCUCCACACAGUGCAUGCUGCACGGCCUCCAGGACAUUUGUGAGAUGUAAGGAUACAUAUCGUGCAAACCUGAUCUUUGUACUCUUUGGAUGCAUUCUUUUUCCUCAAAGAGAUUUUGUGGAUCAAGUAAAAGGAUUCCUCACCUCAGAGUUAAAUUAGAUUUUACUUUGAAGAUGUUUUGAAUAGAAUUAGUAGGCUUGGGGAGCAUUAAUAUUUUAAUCUAUACCUGAUAUGCAUGGACGGAAGUUGAUAUCUUCUACAAAACGGUUUCCGUGGCGUUACAAUAAUGAGUAGUUCAGACUAAAAGUGAAUAAUUUAUAAGUAUAUGUCUAUCGUAGCAGCGGCUCCAUCUUCUGUGUCCAGGAUCCACUGAUUUGACCGGACAAUUAUCAAUAUUUUAAAAGUAGAUGAAAGCCUAGUGGAAUCAUGUUAAUAAAAAUGUCACAUCCUGCCUUUUCUGUUUUUUUUUUUUUAUUUGUUUGUUUGAAUUCUGUUUCUGUAAACAUAUUUAACCACAAGAGGAAAGAGAGAUGAAUUUGCUGUGGAUUGUUUGGUAGAGACGUUUUUUUAAUCCUGCAGAAAUUGAAGGGAGAUAAUCCCCAUUUCUGUACUGAAACAUGUGUUCUGAACUUUUAGAUUCAUUUUCCAAAAGAGUAUUAAAAAUGGUGAAGCAGCAGUCGCAUCGAAGUAUUACGGAUAAAUGAUUUAGUGUUGUUCCUUUUUGUCUGUUUCCAGAAAGCGAUGAAGAUGUCCUGGUCCGUUCGGUGAAUGUCAAACUGCAAGAUCUGAUCCUUUUCUUUACACUUAACAAAAAUGUGUUUAUUUGUCAAGGUGAAACGUCCGACGGGUUCUGGUCGGGUCCAAAACGGAGCAUUUUGUUGUGUUUAGAACAGGAAGAUAAUUAUCUCUGCAGGUUUUCCAUGAAAACUAACUGGUAAGUAGUUGUCAGUUUGAGAUUUUCUUCAAAUACAAGAAGUAAAUAAUGAAAUGUAUUUAUGCCAGACUUUGAGGUGAUGUAUGAGGAAAA